UACAGAGGUCCCAAGCGUUUGUUCGGAUUCACUGGGCGUAAAGGGUGCGCAGGUGGGCUGGUAAGUCCGCUGUGAAAGUCGGGGGCUCAACCCUCGAAAGCCGGUGGAUACUGUCGGGCUAGAGUACGGAAGAGGCGAGUGGAAUUCCUGGUGUAGCGGUGAAAUGCGCAGAUAUCAGGAGAAACACCAGUAGCGAAGGCGGCUCGCUGGGCCAUUCCUGACGCUGAGCCGCGAAAGCCAGGGGAGCGAACGGG
rnacentral:rRNA from 1 species